rnacentral:rRNA from 1 species
AUAUUAAUAAGCGGAGGAAAAGAAACUAACAAGGAUUCCCCUAGUAACGGCGAGUGAAGCGGGAAAAGCUCAAAUUUAAAAUCUGCGUCCUUCGGGCCGCCGAAUUGUAGUCUAGAGAGGCACUCUCGGAACCAGCCCCGGUCUAAGUUUUCUUGGAACAGGGCGUCAUAGAGGGUGAGAACCCCGUCUAUGGCUGGGACGCUGGUUCCUUACGUGGUGUUCUCAACGAGUCGAGUUGUUUGGGAUUGCAGCUCCAAAAGGGUGGUAAAUUUCAUCUAAAGCUAAAUACCGGGAGACGACG